AUUGAACGCUGGCGGCAUGCUUUACACAUGCAAGUCGAACGGUAACAGGCCGCAAGGUGCUGACGAGUGGCGAACGGGUGAGUAAUGCAUCGGAACGUGCCCAGUCGUGGGGGAUAACUACUCGAAAGAGUAGCUAAUACCGCAUACGAUCUAUGGAUGAAAGCGGGGGACCGUAAGGCCUCGCGCGAUUGGAGCGGCCGAUGUCAGAUUAGGUAGUUGGUGGGGUAAAGGCUCACCAAGCCAACGAUCUGUAGCUGGUCUGAGAGGACGACCAGCCACACUGGGACUGAGACACGGCCCAGACUCCUACGGGAGGCCGCAGUGGGGAAUUUUGGACAAUGGGCGCAAGCCUGAUCCAGCAAUGCCGCGGGCAGGAAGAAGGCCUUCGGGUUGUAAACUGCUUUUGUACGGAACGAAACGGCUCUGGUUAAUACCCGGGGCUAAUGACGGUACCGUAAGAAUAAGCACCGGCUAACUACGUG
rnacentral:rRNA from 1 species